CCUACGGGGAGGCAGCAGUGGGGGAAUUUUGGCAAAUGGGGGAAACCCUGAUCCAGCCAUCCCGCGUGUGCGAUGAAGGCCUUCGGGUUGUAAAGCACUUUUGGCAGGAAAGAAACGUCGCGGGUUAAUACCUCGCGGAACUGACGGUACCUGCAGAAUAAGCACCGGCUAACUACGUGCCAGCAGCCGCGGUAAUACGUAGGGUGCAAGCGUUAAUCGGAAUUACUGGGCGUAAAGCGUGCGCAGGCGGUUCGGAAAGAAAGAUGUGAAAUCCCAGAGCUUAACUUUGGAACUGCAUUUUUAACUACCGGGCUAGAGUGUGUCAGAGGGAGGUGGAAUUCCGCGUGUAGCAGUGAAAUGCGUAGAUAUGCGGAGGAACACCGAUGGCGAAGGCAGCCUCCUGGGAUAACACUGACGCUCAUGCACGAAAGCGUGGGGAGCAAACAGGAUUAGAUACCCUGGUAGUCCACGCCCUAAACGAUGUCAACUAGCUGUUGGGGCCUUCGGGCCUUGGUAGCGCAG
rnacentral:rRNA from 1 species